UAACGACUCUCGGCAACGGAUAUCUCGGCUCUCGCAUCGAUGAAGAACGUAGCGAAAUGCGAUACUUGGUGUGAAUUGCAGAAUCCCGUGAACCAUCGAGUCUUUGAACGCAAGUUGCGCCCGAAGCGUUCCGGCCGAGGGCACGUCUGCCUGGGCGUCAAG
rnacentral:rRNA from 1 species